rnacentral:tRNA from 1 species
GGGGCAGUAGCUCAGUGGUAGAGCUUCCGCUUUAUACGCGGAAAUAACUGUGUUCGAUUCCCGGCUACUUCC